GAUUAUUUGCACAGGUGCCUGCAAAGAGAUCAGCUGCUCUACUUUGAUCCUGCCUUUUUUCAGACCUCGGCUUGUAAACGGAUUUCUACCUUCUCCACUCCCAGACCUCGGCUUGUAAACGGAUUUCUACCUUCUCCACUCCUAGACCUCGGCUUGUAACACGGAAUUCUACCUUCUCCACUCCUAGACCUCGGCUUGUAACACGGAAUUCUACCUUCUCCACUCCUAGACCUCGGCUUGUUAAAACGGACUUCUAAUUUCUCCUCCAUUGGGUGAAUUAACCCUUCCAGUGCCAGAACUGCUUUUUAAGUUAAG